UACGGAGGGAGCUAGCGUUGUUCGGAAAUACUGGGCGUAAAGCGCACGUAGGCGGCGCAGCAAGUCAGGGGUGAAAUCCCGGGGCUCAACCCCGGAACUGCCCUUGAAACUGCAGUGCUAGAAUCUUGGAGAGGUCAGUGGAAUUCCGAGUGUAGAGGUGAAAUUCGUAGAUAUUCGGAAGAACACCAGUGGCGAAGGCGACUGACUGGACAAGUAUUGACGCUGAGGUGCGAAAGCGUGGGAGCAAACAGG
rnacentral:rRNA from 1 species